rnacentral:rRNA from 1 species
GACGAACGCUGGCGGCGUGCCUAACACAUGCAAGUCGAGCGAAUGAAAUUCCUUCGGGAAUGGAUUUAGCGGCGGACGGGUGAGUAACACGUGGGCAACCUGCCUCAUAGAGGGGAAUAGCCUUCCGAAAGGGAGAUUAAUACCGCAUAAGAUUGUAGUACCGCAUGGUACAGCAAUUAAAGGGGCAAUCCGCUAUGAGAUGGGCCCGCGGCGCAUUAGCUAGUUGGUGAGGUAACGGCUCACCAAGGCGACGAUGCGUAGCCGACCUGAGAGGGUGAUCGGCCACAUUGGACUGAGACACGGCCCAGACUCCUACGGGAGGCAGCAGUGGGGAAUAUUGCACAAUGGGGGAAACCCUGAUGCAGCAACGCCGCGUGAGUGAUGACGGCCUUCGGGUUGUAAAGCUCUGUCUUCAGGGACGAUAAUGACGGUACCUGAGGAGGAAGCCACGGCUAACUACGUGCCAGCCGCCGCUGUAAAAC